rfam:Picea glauca, whole genome shotgun sequence.
CUAUAACUUAUUGGUAAAGCAUUUGACUGCAGAUCAAAAGGUCCAAGAGGUCACUGGUUCGAACCCGGUUGG